UACGAAGGGGGCUAGCGUUGCUCGGAAUUACUGGGCGUAAAGCGCACGUAGGCGGAUUGUUAAGUCGGAGGUGAAAUCCUGGAGCUCAACUCCAGAACUGCCUUCGAAACUGGCGAUCUUGAGUUCGGGAGAGGUGAGUGGAACUGCGAGUGUAGAGGUGAAAUUCGUAGAUAUUCGCAAGAACACCAGUGGCGAAGGCGGCUCACUGGCCCGAUACUGACGCUGAGGUGCGAAAGCGUGGGGAGCAAACAGG
rnacentral:rRNA from 1 species